UCCCAGCCUUGUUGAGUCGGUAGAGCAUGAGUCUCUUAAUCUCAGGGUUGUGGGUUUGAGCCUCACGUUGGGUGAA